rnacentral:tRNA from 1 species
CUGGGUGUGGCUCAGCUUGGUAGAGCGCUACCUUGGGGUGGUAGAGGCCGAAGGUUCAAAUCCUUUCACUCAGA